UACGGAGGAUGCGAGCGUUAUCCGGAUUUAUUGGGUUUAAAGGGUGCGUAGGCGGGCUAAUAAGUCAGCUGUGAAAGUUUGCGGCUCAACCGUAAAAUUGCAGUUGAUACUGUUAGUCUUGAGUACAGUAGAGGUGGGCGGAAUUCGUGGUGUAGCGGUGAAAUGCUUAGAUAUCACGAAGAACUCCAAUUGCGAAGGCAGCUUGCUGGACUGUAACUGACGCUGAUGCACGAAAGUGUGGGUAUCAAAC
rnacentral:rRNA from 1 species